rnacentral:sRNA from 1 species
UAUUCUGCCCUACGGGGAAGGAUGAGAAGGUUCGACUCGAGCGUCAGCGAGAGAACGUUGCCGCAGGCAACGGCCCGAAGGGCGAGGAGCGAUAGCGACGAGUUAUCCUUCCCCCACUACUG